rnacentral:rRNA from 1 species
UACGGAGGGUGCGAGCGUUACCCGGAUUUACUGGGUGUAAAGGGCGUGUAGGCGGUCUCUCAAGUCCGAUGCUAAAGACCGAAGCUCAACUUCGGGGGUGCGUUGGAUACUGUGAGGCUAGACGGUCGGAGAGGGUAGCGGAAUUUCCGGAGUAGCGGUGAAAUGCGCAGAUACCGGAAGGAACGCCAAUAGCGAAGGCAGCUACCUGGACGAUUUGUGACGCUGAGGCGCGAAAGCGUGGGGAGCAAACCGG